rnacentral:rRNA from 1 species
GAACGCUGGCGGCGUGCUUAACACAUGCAAGUCGGACGAAGAGCGAUGGAAGCUUGCUUCUAUCAAUCUUAGUGGCGAACGGGUGAGUAACGCGUAAUCAACCUGCCCUUCAGAGGGGGACAACAGUUGGAAACGACUGCUAAUACCGCAUACGAUCUAACCUCGGCAUCGAGGAAAGAUGAAAGGUGGCCUCUAUGUAUAAGCUAUCACUGAAGGAGGGGAUUGCGUCUGAUUAGCUAGUUGGAGGGGUAACGGCCCACCAAGGCGAUGAUCAGUAGCCGGUCUGAGAGGAUGAACGGCCACAUUGGGACUGAGACACGGCCCAGACUCCUACGGGAGGCAGCAGUGGGGAAUCUUCCGCAAUGGACGAAAGUCUGACGGAGCAACGCCGCGUGAGUGAUGACGGCCUUCGGGUUGUAAAGCUCUGUUAAUCGGGACGAAAGGCCUUCUUGCGAAUAGUGAGAAGGAUUGACGGUACCGGAAUAGAAAGCCACGGAUAACUACGUGCCAGCAGCCGCGGUAAUACGUAGGUGGCAAGCGUUGUCCGGAAUUAUUGGGCGUAAAGCGCGCGCAGGCGGAUCAGUCAGUCUGUCUUAAAAGUUCGGGGCUUAACCCCGUGAUGGGAUGGAAACUGCUGAUCUAGAGUAUCGGAGAGGAAAGUGGAAUUCCUAGUGUAGCGGUGAAAUGCGUAGAUAUUAGGAAGAACACCAGUGGCGAAGGCGACUUUCUGGACGAAAACUGACGCUGAGGCGCGAAAGCCAGGGGAGCGAACGGGAUUAGAUAUCCCGGUAGUCCUGGCCGUAAACGAUGGGUACUAGGUGUAGGAGGUAUCGACCCCUUCUGUGCCGGAGUUAACGCAAU